GUAACCUCUCAACCCCGCUUUCAUUGACUUGAAAGUUGCCUUUAGGGUUGGAUCAUGACGCCUUGUUUCUCUAAAGUGAAACUGCGUUGAAAUGCAACAAGCUGUACCUUUGUUACUUAGCGGCUUGACCCGUUGUCAUAAAGAAUUUACAUUCCUUCAAUGGGGACGCUUCGUGUGUUAAGGAUGGGCUUACCAUAAAUGUGGGGAGUUGCCUUUCGCAAGGCGCGCCCUUUUCAUUA
rnacentral:misc_RNA from 1 species